CUUAGCUAUAAAAUCAUCAAAUUCUACAGGAAACGAACAAUGGAGAAUGGAUUUGAAUAAAAUUAAAAUUAGCGGGAUUUUGGAAAUUAAGAGUUAUUCAGGACGUGGCCCUUUUUGCAGAUGUGAAGAAUUUUGAAAUCAAUGUCAGGAUUGAAAUUAUGGUUGGAGUUACGGAUAUGUUGGGAAAAAUGAGAUUGUCCAGAUGUUGGGCGCUGUAUGUAUCUAAGAUGUUCCUUCAAUCUGGUGUCAAACGAUCUAAAGGUUCUUCCGACGUAAUAUGACGAGCAGGUAUGGCAUUUAAGCUCAUAAACUCCACAACACUCAGAUCUAUCACGACUGUCCUUGUUAUUCAAGAAAACCAAACCUAAAUUUGAAUUAGUUCUAAAAGAAAUAUUACAGUAAUCUUUAAAAAUAUGAGCUAAUUUGUAAGAGAAUUGACCUGUAAAUGUUAAUGAUCUAUAUGGUUUUGGCUCCUGUUCGACUAGAAUAGGCUGUGUAUAUACUCGAUGUUCUAAAAUUCUAUUUGUUUUUUUGUGUAAAAUUUUAUUUACUAAGUCCACAGUAUAACCAUUAUUAACUGCUAUUUGUUGGAUAAUUUUUAAUUCUUUGUUAAAUGAAGUUGUAGUCAAUGGGAUAGAGACAAGCCUGUUGAUGUAACUAUAAAAAGCAGCCAGUUUAUGUUGUAUGGGGUGGUGUGAAUCGGCAGGGAUAACUGUACCUGUAUGGGUUGGUUUUCUAUAAAUACCAAAGUCAAUCGUUCCAUUUCUGAGUGUCAAUGUAAGAUCUAAAAAGUUCAAACUCUUUGAGUCAUUCUGAAUCUCUAAAGUAAAUUUAAUAGUGUCAUGUAAAGUAUUGAGGAAAUCUAAGAAAUCGUGAAGAAUGUCAAUUGUGCCAUUCCAUAUUAUUAAAGUAUCGUCAACAUACCUAGCGUAAAAUUUAAUAUAAUCUGUAAAUGGAUUAUUUUUCACUAUUUUAUUAGAUUCCAAGUCAUUUAGAAAAAUAUCAGCUAAUAUCGGUGAAAGAGAGAUCUUACUCAUCUACAAUUAUGCAACAGGUGAUAUGCUUGUGCGUUAGAUUAUGCACUGCCUACUUACACUUAAACUCAACACUUCUUCUCUACUUUAAUUCUUCUCUACUUGAAUACUAAUGUAGAAUAAUACAUCUGUUAUCUUUUAAUCAUGUACUUUUAUUAUUGUUACAACAUUUUUUCACAAUAGUGGUUACACAUAUAGUUUAGAUUUUGUUAUUAAUGCUAUAAAUUAACAACUAUCUUUUUUGUAAAAUUUGAAAAUGCUGUAUACUUUAUGUUACUAAGAGAUUUAAUUAAAAUAGACAAUUACUGUACAACAUUUGAGAAGAAGUGUUUUGACAUUUCAGAUAACCUACAUCUGUCUACACUGUCAAUAUUCCCUCUUGAAAACACAAAAACUAGACUUCAAUUUAGGAAGUAAAAACUAAGUUAAAUAGUAAUUGGGGAAAUGUAGUGCUAC